CGUAGGGAGCAAGCGUUAUCCGGAAUUAUUGGGUGUAAAGGGUGCGUAGACGGGAUGUCAAGUUAGUUGUGAAAUACCUCGGCUCAACUGAGGAACUGCAACUAAAACUAACAUUCUUGAGUGCAGGAGAGGAAAGUGGAAUUCCUAGUGUAGCGGUGAAAUGCGUAGAUAUUAGGAAGAACAUCGGUGGCGAAGGCGACUUUCUGGACUGUAACUGACGUUGAGGCACGAAAGUGUGGGGAGCAAA
rnacentral:rRNA from 1 species